GCCGGUGAUGACUUGUAUUGGUUGCUGAACAGGCACAUUGAUUGCCUGGACUCUGUUGACAUUUCGCAUGAACUAGGACAGUCUGAGGC
rfam:Triticum urartu cultivar G1812 contig1172565, whole genome shotgun sequence.